rnacentral:rRNA from 1 species
AGACCCGAAACCCGGUGAUCUAGCCAUGGGCAGGUUGAAGGUUGGGUAACACUAACUGGAGGACCGAACCGACUAAUGUUGAAAAAUUAGCGGAUGACCUGUGGCUGGGGGUGAAAGGCCAAUCAAACCGGGAGAUAGCUGGUUCUCCCCGAAAGCUAUUUAGGUAGCGCCUCGUGAACUCAUCUCCGGGGGUAGAGCACUGUUUCGGCUAGGGGGCCAUCCCGGCUUACCAACCCGAUGCAAACUGCGAAUACCGGAGAAUGUUAUCACGGGAGACACACGGCGGGUGCUAACGUCCGUCGUGAAGAGGGAAACAACCCAGACCGCCAGCUAAGGUCCCAAAGUCAUGGUUAAGUGGGAAACGAUGUGGGAAGGCCCAGACAGCCAGGAUGUUGGCUUAGAAGCAGCCAUCAUUUAAAGAAAGCGUAAUAGCUCACUGGUCGAGUCGGCCUGCGCGGAAGAUGUAACGGGGCUAAACCAUGCACCGAAGCUGCGGCAGCGAACGUAUCACUUAAAGCGAUUCAGCGGGUUACGAUUGACGGAGC